rnacentral:rRNA from 1 species
GCCAGAGGAAACUCUGGUGGAGGCUCGUAGCGAUACUGACGUGCAAAUCGUUCGUCGAACUUGGGUAUAGGGGCGAAAGACUAAUCGAACCAUCUAGUAGCUGGUUCCCUCCGAAGUUUCCCACAGGAUAGCUUGAGCGCACACAGUACGGUUUUGUCAGGUAAAGCGAAUGAUUAGAGGCCUUGGGGCUGAAACAGCCUUAACCUAUUCUCAAACUUUAAAUAUGUAAGAAGCCCUUGUCACUUAAUUGGACGUGGGCAUGCGAAUGAGAGUUUCUAGUGGGCCAUUUUUGGUAAGCAGAACUGGCGAUGCGGGAUGAACCGAUCGUGAGGUUAAGGUGCCGGAAUAUACACUCAUCAGACACCACAAAAGGUGUUAAUUCAUCUAGACAGCAGGACGGUGGCCAUGGAAGUCGGAACCCGCUAAGGAGUGUGUAACAACUCACCUGCCGAAGGUACUAGCCCUGAAAAUGGAUGGCGCUCAAGUGUAUUACCCAUACCUCACCGUCAGCGUUAAAGUGACGCGCUGACGAGUAGGCAGGCGUGGAGGUCAGUGAAGAAGCCUUGGCAGUGAUGCUGGGUGAAACGGCCUCUAGUGCAGAUCUUGGUGGUAGUAGCAAGUAUUCAAAUGGGAACUUUGAAGACUGAAGUGGAGAAAGGUUCCAUGGAAACAGCAGUUGGACAUGGGUUAGUCGAUCCUAAGAGAUAGGGAAGCUCCGUUUUAAAGUGCAUGAUUAUCCAUGCCACCCAUCGAAAGGGAAUCCGGUUAAGAUUCCGGAACCAGGACGAGGAUACUUGACGGUAACGUAAAUGAAGUUGGUGACGCUGGCGAGGGCCCCG